rnacentral:snRNA from 1 species
AUACUUACCUGGCAGGGGAGAUACCAUGAUCAGGAAGGUGGUUUUCCCAGGGCGAGGCUUCUCCAUUGCACUGCGGAGGGGCUGACCCCUGCGAUUUCCCCAAAUGUGGGAAACUCGACUGCAUAAUUUGUGGUACUGGGGACUGCGUUCGCGCUCUCCCUG